UCCUCACUUGGGAGCAUGUGAGAAAGGGCUGUAAUAAGAAUAGCUGAGAUUUGCUGGAGCCAAAGCUUACAGAAGGAAGAAUCUGCAGGUUUAAAAAGAAACUGAUCGUGAAGUACUAAAAUAGGUACCAAAUAAAGUACCUUCCACUGAUUUAUCUGCAGCCUUGCCAAGGAGUUAACACUGCUGGUGUGCUUCCUGACGCUGACAUCUGUUGGUUUAAUAUAGGCAUAUAGGAUGGAUGGAGCAUAGCCUAGGACAUAUGAAACAGUUCAGGUAAACAGUGAAAGUCAGAAGAAGGUAAAUGCAGCUGUUCCACUGGGCGUGAAUCUCCAAGCACAUAAGUCGGCUGUGCUAUUUUGCAGACUGUGUGAAGGCUUCACUGCAGCACAGCUAGCCGGGACUGCUGUGCAGAAAGUCUUUUUACAACACCUUUUAUAUUACCGGAGUAGGUCUAUUAAAGUAACAUGCUUACUUUUUAGCAGGUGACAUUUGGAAUAAAAGUACAUGAUAGGUGAUAGAGCCAGGGGUCGAGGUUAAAGUCACCACUGCGGAUGCUUAAACCAAUUAUUUUAAUAAACUGAUUAUCAGUUGUUAAAAAAUAUGCAAGAAUCUCCAGAGCCUGGUUUUUCUUCAUAUUUGACAAUUGGCUUUAAUGUAUGUGUUAGAAAACUACUGUACUGGUUAUAGAUACUUAGAUUAACAGAUUUAAACCUUUCAGAUUAAACAUCAAGUGGGUACUGUCACAGUAUUGCAAAUAUAAAUAUUCAACGUAUGUUUUGAUCAUCUAGGCUGGAAUUAUCUUCAGAAGAAACAGAACACGAAGGAUAUUCAUAAGGAUAAAUUCCUAAAAUUGCAAUAUAUAUGUAUAUAUGUAUAUGUGUUUGUGUGUAUAUAUAUACAUAUAUAAACAAAGUAUGUAUAUAUAUUCAUUGCUGUUGUUAAGCUACCAGUUUAACGGUUCUCUAAAUUUCUUAUUUCUUUUUUCUUCUAGUUCGUGUGAGAUCGUCCAUAGCUCACACUAUCUGUGUAUAAUGAAAUAUGAAGACAUUUCUUACUGCACUGUUAACUGGGGUCAUUUUUUUUUAAGAAAUUGAGGGACAACAUAUGCUUGUCUAAGCAUGUUAUGCAAAUUAUUGGCAUAAAAGGAUUUUUAACAUGUAGGUAGUGUAAAACAUGUCAUAGUGACAAUUCUUACAUUCGGUAUUCAUUUAUCCCGACAAUUACCAUGGUUAUAACGCCUUUCUACAUGUCGCCAUUUUAUAUGCAUGUUGAAAAGCAAGGCAUGCUCAUGUACCUGCAAGAUAUUGGAAUUAUAUCCUCAACACUUUAUCUUCAAGUUGGGGCUUGGACUCUGUAAUUUUCCUCUGUUUAUAAAAUCGCAUACAUGAGAUACCCCAGCAAGGUGAGUUUGUCUAUUCAGAAUGUUUGAAGCGGAAAUAUGUUAACACAGAAGGAAUUUUCCCUCUGCUGAUUUUAGACUCAGUCACAUGGUCAGAGGCUGGAAUUUAUACCAGACGGUCUCAGAAAUCUUCUAGUAGCCAUAUUAUUGCUUUCUUCAAAAGACAACUGCACAUUGCCUAUUUUCUAGCUACCUUUGCAGCACUGUUCUGCUCCCAACACACAAUCCCCAUUUUUAAAAUGUACGUUACUAACAAGUUUUCUGUUAUAAAGCAGAACAGUAUGAACACCAUCUAUGCAAUCUGCUAUUCUGUGUUGUCAGAUAUGUCUUUUAAAGGAAAACUCUACAGCAAUCAAUCACGUGACACAUAAGGUCUCUCUCUUUUUUCUAAGAAAAGAAUACCAUAUUUCAUCUAUGAAGGAGGCAGCAUAAAAUGCUACCAGCAUAUCAGUAUGAUUUUUUAGUCAUUUGCAAAUGCACAAUUUUCCACAUUUGCUGAAAUAAAGUCUCAGAAUAAAUGCUUGUCAGUUGGAACAAUUGUGUGGGGAUGGGACAGAUGGGCAGCUGUUUCUGUUUUAAUCCCAGAUUUUGUUCUUUUACUUUAAAUAAUGUUGAAAAUGUUUUUUUAAUUGUGAAAAAAUAAACAUAGGCCGUUUUUAAAAAAGAAAAUAAAGUGGUAGUUACUGAACUAUAAUGAAAGAAAGAUAGUUCUCAUAAUGUGGAUUAAAAAUCUCUAGCUCUCUUAACUGAAAACAAUGGAUUUCACUGGCUGUACUCAGCUGAUACUGAUCAUUAUUCGUACUAUAAUUGAUAUGACCAACUGUCUUUUUAGUUUUAUAGGAAUACACAAAAGUUCCGGUGAAGUCAAAUAUGCAUGAUCAACUGGGCAUCAUAAUUUCACUGUUAGUGCUUAUGGAUUUUUCACAUUUUAAUCACAAACAUGAACUCUUUUCUUAGCUGUACACUGCAUUAUGAAUUAAUCUAAACUAAAACUAUUUUAAAACCCUUUUGUUCCCAUAAAAAAACCACGUAAGAAUGCCUCUAUUUUUAAAUCAGCAUUUCUUUCUUCUAUCAUAAUUACUUCCUCAUAAUAUGAAAGAAUAAAGAUUUAACUAAUGCCCUAACUAAAUAGGCCAAAGAUUAUAAAUAAUGACUUUUCACUAGGUACAAAUCUUCUGUAAUUAGAAAGGGAGGCAAAUAAUCUGUAAUGAAUGAACUGUAUUUAAUAUGUAAGUACUGAAUAUUGAACACAGAUGCCCCGACAUUGGGCUCAAGUGAAAAAACAAACAAACAAACAAACAAAAAACCUAAAAAGCAAAAACAAAACAAAACAAACAAACAAACAACAAAAAAACCCACAUUUAUCUCCUUUUCUGGACAGAAACUCCAUGUUCCAGGAAGGUAAAACACUCAACUCAGAAAAGUACCACCACCAAAAAAAAAAAAGGGGAAUUUUUAUUAGUUGAAAACCAAACUGCCUUUAAUAGAAAGAUUUUAAAUAGCAAAUAGGUCAUUAUCCCACUAUGUUACUUGAGAUUACUCCAGAUAUUAUAGCUGACCAGAAACUAUUUCUGUAUCCUACUCAAAAAUCCGAAUUAUUCUGACCUUCAGUUAAGUAAAACUCAUUUCAUUGGUCAGUUCCAUACCAUGCAGCAAUGCUGAUGUGGGAUAAUUUUAUGUAGGAAAUAUAGUUCUAUUGAAUGCUUUUAAUGGAUUGAAUCUGUUAAUACAACAGUGGUUGAUUAAAGAACCUAUUUUAAUAUCUUAACUUUAAACAGAUGACAAUGCUUUACACUCUAAAUUGUUAGAACCCAUUUUUAAUUUCUUUAAAACUGAUAAGCCUCCCUGCCCUUCCCUAAUUUCAAAUUUAAUUAAAUCCACGACACCACCACACUGAAGAGAAAGGCCAGUUUUAUUUACAUAACAUAACAAUAGUAAUAACAAUGAAUGGACUGCACUAAACCAACAUCAGUCUUCACCACAAAAUAUUAUUCUUGACCCCCUCAAAGACCAGCCUUUUUAUCUACCCAGCCAGGAAUAGCAUUCAAUUUUGUAUUAAAAUAACUACUGCGACAGAACUCACAAACGAACACAUGUAUUUUUGGAAGUAAAUCAGCAUAUUCAACAUCACAAUCAUCACUAGGAUUUUUUUUUCAUAAACUGAGUAAUCUUCCAUCUUAACCCACAUCGGCAGUGCUUAAAUUUUAUGUUUUUUAGAUACUAUAAAAACUACCCACUUAUUAAGCUCUCAGGAUGGGCAAUGAGGAAGGUAAGGUACAGAUUACAAAAACCUGGGGCAUCAGCAGGUUAAGGGGGCAAGAUCAGAGAAAUAAAAGUGGUGGAACCAGGGCUUUCAAGCAGUUCCUUUCCUCCCAGGUUAUAUUCAGACCUGAGGCCUGCCUCAGGCAGAGUCAAAGGAGGAGUUUGCCUGGAGCAGACAGUCCAGAGGGAGAACCCCACUACUUUAUUAACCAAGCAAGCACCGAUUGUGGUUGCCUCAGACUAACAUCUACUCACAGCCUGAGAGCUUUCGGACUCUUUGGAUCAUGUGUGCACGGACCACAAAAUCUCUCUACAUGCUUGCAGAGUUAUGCACACGUAUUGGUUACUUGAGAGUCAGAGUUACUGACUUCAUGAGAGGCCCCCACCAAAGUGAAAGGCAACUCACAAUGUCAGUUUAAUAUUAGACACUUAAAACUAUGUUCUCCCUAUACUGAAUUUUCUAAUCAAUAUCUAAGAGUACUUUUGGCUGUUAGUUCACUGUUUUCACUUUCACACAGCAAUUCCCUUCCCAUGAUGCCCUUUACACACACACACACACACACACACACACACACACACACACCCUUCUCAGAGUAAAACCUGACCUCCUUUGUCUUGGAUGGGAUCCAUCCUUCAAAGAGACCACAUCCCUACUAGUGCUCACUCUAUUUUAGUUUUUUUUUUUCUUUAACUCUUAUUUCUCCUUGAAAUAUGUUUGAAUUUCCAAAACCUUGAAAAUUCUUCCCAUUUGAAACUACUGAUCCAUUUUAAUCACUGUCCUAUUAUUUGACAUUAUUUUACAGCUAAGAUCCUUAAACAAGCAACCUACCUCCAGACCCCACUGCUCUUACAAGCAUCCCUUACUUCCUUAAUCUCCUGUCAUCUGAUUUAUGGACCCAUCAAUAUCCUGACACUGUUCAAUUAAAUCAUUUUUCUAAUGGAAUUGAAUUUCUUUAUUCUGACCCUCUUCAAAUUCUCCACUACACCUUAUACAGUUUAUCUCAUUUUUAGUUUCCAUGAUAUUGUCUGUGAUUUUUUUUUCUCUGUAUGUCUCACAAACUGGGCUUUUUCUUCUUUCUAUGCUCCAAUUUAGUGAUUCUCUUUGUUGUCUAUCUGCUGACUUUCCUCUACGCUUACAUAUUUUUUCCAUUCAAGUGUUUUAAUUAUCUCCUCUAUACCAAAAUUCUUGCCUCCUGGACAUCUUAUUUCCUCCUUUCUCUCCUGUUCCAUUCUCCAAAAUUUAUUAUAGAGCCCUUCAUUAUUUAUUUAAAAAGAAAAAAAAAAGAACUGUUCACACUUCUACCUAUAUGCCAGGCAUUCCUAAAGGCACUGAAAAUAGAGUAGUGAAAAAGAUAAAAAUAAAAAUUACCUGCCCUCAUGCAGUAUGUCUGGUAUUGAGGGAGAGAGAUAAUAAACAGGAUAACAGUAAAACAUUAAAAUCAUGGAAAUGAGUGUUAACGGGAAAACAUAAAGCAAAGAAGGGAUAUGUGAAAUCUCAGGGGUGGGCUUAAAAUUUUAAAGGCUGUCAACUAUACACUACAGAGACCAAUGCAGAAGCUAAGGCAUCACUUUUAAAAAUGCUGUAAUGAUUCAGGAGAGAGAUGAUGAAACCAUGGACCAGACAUAAGAAGAAGGAAUCAAGAUUAAUACCAAAGUUUUUGAUCCAAUGCCUGGAAAUAUGUCACCACCACUAACCAAUAUAGUAAUACCAGUGCAAGUUUCUUAACACUGAGGGUUGACCACUUUGGCGAUGGUGGCGAGAGAUGCUCUGCAGACCCCCUCCGUAGUGAAACAACUGAUGGAAAUUAUACACAUACACGAAAGAACUUUAAAUAUCUAGAAGCUGUCCCAGGGAUCACAACAAAUCCAAAAACAUUUCUUUUCAAGAAAAUGUACUGCAACAGUAGAUUUGACC